GGGAAAUGUGUCGGUAGUGUUGGAAUGAAGUGUGGAAAUGGAGAAGAGAAGAGCGAGAGGAAGUGAGUAGGAUUUUAGAAUGUUAGCUGGAAGAUGGUUAUGUUUGUUUAGAGAUUUAAUGUCACGGGACAGGAUCUGCAGACAGGAAAAUUAUUGGGCGUGGUUAUGAGAAAGAUGGGUUGUACUAUGUGGAGGAAAUGUCUCAAAAUGGUUGUGUAGAGCUUGUUCACGGGUCCGUGGAACAACAACUUUGGAAAUGGCACCGUAGACUUAGUCAUCCCUCACUUGGGUAUUUAGAACAUCUUUUUCCUUCCCUAUGGGGGUCUAAACUUGUUUUUGAUUAUGAGUCCUAUAUCUUGGCAAAGAGCCACAUACAUUCGUAUUAUCCUAGUUUAAAUCAUUCUACUGAACUUUUUAUGCUUAUACAUUCUGAUGUUGGGGACCUGCACCUGAUGGAGGGAGGUUAAUUUUUUCUUAUUAUGUGUUGUUUAUUGAUGAUUGCACUAGAAUGAGUUGGGUAUAUUUUGUCAAACAUAAAUCUUUGGUGUGCGAUAUUUUCAUACAAUUCUAUAAAAUGAUUCUUACCCAAUUUCAAAAGCAAAGCCGGAUUCUUCACUCAGAUAAUGGUGGAGACUACAUUAAUCAUCAAAUGAAAUUUUUUUUUCACAGCAUGGUCUUAUACACCAAACAUCAUGUUCUCAUACCUCUCAACAAAAUGGCAUAGUAGAACGGAAAAAUCGAUCCCUUCUUAAUAUAGCUCAAUCUCUCAUGAUUGGAACAAUCCGAAACUUUUCUGGCCUGAAGCUAUUGCCACAGCUAACUAUCUCACAAAUCGCCUCCCCACAAAAAGCCUCAACUACAAAACCCCAAUUGAUACCCUAUUUCUCCACACACCAUCUAUCUCCACUCACUCUCUUCCUUCCAAAAUCUUUAGAUGUAUAGUCUAUGUCCAUCUUCCCAAAAACCAUCACACUAAACAUAAACCCAGGGCAGUAAAAUAUAUCUUUGUUGGGUGUGAAACUCAUCAAAAGGGUAAUAGAUGCUUCGAUCCCACCACCAAUCAUAUGUAUGUCACAAUGGAUUGUGACUUUCAAGAAGACUCAUACUACUAUCACCACCUUAGAUGUCAGGGGGAGAAUGAGACCAAAGACGAUCUAAGUUGGUUGUUUGUUAACAUGGACCACAAAGAACAAGUUGGCAAAGCCACCGAGACUGCAUCCGAAGCGGCAUUACAAUCAUCUCCUCAGCCACAACCUAUCUUAUCCCCGUCCAAUGAUCUCCCAGAGGUAACUGAAUCUUGUGAUCUAAGGGACCUCAAUUCAUAAGAGGGCGAAAUUUCUGUCAUGCUUGAACAUUGUUGUUUGCAGCGCUUAAAGGUUAAUUGCAGGUGGGGUCUGGAGUGAGGUCUCGACUUAGAACCCGUAAUCAUCAAGCCUAUGCUAUUAUCUUUUUGUAUUGGAUUAUGGAUAGAAAGAAACUCUGUACUUAUGUAACAGGACAUCGUGUAGUUUUCUUUUCGCUUCCGCUUAUUUUCUAUUAGCUUGUCUAGAGGCCCUUAGGCUCUCAAGUUGUACGUAAGAGUUUCCGCUGACUUAUUUUCUUUCACGCUGGUACUGUUUUCUGUUUUAGCUAUAUUUCUUUAUCGACGGAACGUUGACGAUCAUAGAGAAAAGUCUUCUCUGGAGUCCAAAGAGUGAACCGGAGUUUGUAUUUUCAUAUGGAUUUCCGGGUCAUUUAAACCGAACCGUUACAAUUCUAAGGUACCUCAAAGGUACUCCUGAGAAGGGCAUAGUUUUUUAGAGGAAUGAACACUUAGAUUUGCAAGCUUAUACUGAUGCAGAUUGGGUAGGUGACAGAGAUGGAAGAAAAUCAACCUCAAGAUACUUCACUCUUAUAGGAGGGAACCUUGUAACUUGGAAAAGUAAAAAUAAAAAGUGGUUGCCCUAUCUAGUGCAGAUUCCGAAUUCCGAGGAAUAGCCAAAGGUAUAACUAAGGUGUUAUGGAUUCGAAAAUUGCUCACUGAACUUGGGUUCAAACAAAAUAGUUGCGAACUGAAUUGCGAUAUCAAAGAUGCAAUAAGUAUAUCGGAGAACCCAGCCGAGCAUGACAGAACAAAGCAUGUUGAAGUUGAUCGACACUUUAUUAAAGAAAAGCUUGAGCAUAAGAUAAUAUAUAUUCCUGUCGCGAAAUCUAAAGAGCAACUUGCAGACAUCCUAACCAAGGUCGUCGGGUCUGAACAAUUUCAUAACACUCUUUGCAAGUUGAGUGUUCGAGAUCUCACUACCCAACUUGAGGGGGAGUGAAGGAAAGAAUAAAACAAAAUAUUGUUAUUUUUGUAUACUUCUAUAAAUCAGCAAUUAGGAGAUUAUGAUUAUUGUAUAUAUGGAAACAAUUAGUCUUUAUAAGCCUUGUAUUCUGUAAUCAUUUUUAUUCAAGCAAUAAAACACAA